rnacentral:rRNA from 1 species
AACGAACGCUGGCGGCAGGCCUAACACAUGCAAGUCGAGCGCGCCUUCGGGUGAGCGGCGGACGGGUGAGUACCGCGUGGGAAUAUGCCCUUCUCUACGGAAUAGUCCUGGGAAACUGGGGGUAAUACCGUAUACGCCCUUUGGGGGAAAGAUUUAUCGGGGAAGGAUUAGCCCGCGUUGGAUUAGGUAGUUGGUGGGGUAAUGGCCUACCAAGCCGACGAUCCAUAGCUGGUUUGAGAGGAUGAUCAGCCACACUGGGACUGAGACACGGCCCAGACUCCUACGGGAAGCAGCAGUGGGGAAUCUUAGACAAUGGGGGCAACCCUGAUCUAGCCAUGCCGCGUGAGUGAUGAAGGCCUUAGGGUUGUAAAGCUCUUUCAGCUGGGAAGAUAAUGACGGUACCAGCAGAAGAAGCCCCGGCUAACUCCGUG